rnacentral:misc_RNA from 1 species
GAUGAAGAACGCAGCGAAAUGCGAUAAGUAAUGUGAAUUGCAGAAUUCAGUGAAUCAUCGAAUCUUUGAACGCACAUUGCGCCCGCCAGUAUUCUGGCGAGCAUGCCUGUUCGAGCGUCAUUUCAACCAUCAAGCCCCAGGCUUGUGUUGGAGCCCUGCGGCUGCCGCAGCCUCCCAAAACCAGUGGCGGGCUCGCUAUCACACCGAGUGCAGUAGUUUACUCUUCGCUCAGGGCGUGUGGCGGGUGCUAGCCGUGAAACCCCCAACUUCUCAAGGUUGACCUCGGAUCAGGUAGGAAUUCCCGCUGAACUUAAGCAUAUCAAUAAGCGGAGGA